AAUGUUAAAGUUCUUAUUUCAUGGUAUAACUUUGGUAUGCUUGGACCUAGAGUCUUCAAACUUGACAUGAAGGUUGGCCAGGAUUAACAGAUGACCACUGGUCAUUUCAAGGUCAUUCAUUUGAAGGUCAAGGUCACUGUGACCUUCAAUAUAAAAAAUGUUAAAGUUGUUAUAACUUUGGUAUGCUUGGACCUAGAGUCUUGAAACUUGACAUGAAGGUUGGCCAUAACUAGUUAGUAACCACUGGUCAUUUCAAGGUCAUUCAGUUGAAGGUCAAGGUCACUGUGACCUUGAAUGUAAAAAUGUUAAAGUUCUUAUUUCAUGGUAUAACUUUGGUAUGCUUGGACCUAGAGUCUUCAAACUUGACAUGAAGGUUGGCCAGGAUUAACAGAUGACCACUGGUCAUUUCAAGGUCAUUAAUUUGAAGGUGAAGGUCACUGUGACCUUCAAUAUAAAAAUGUUAAAGUUGUUAUAACUUUGGUAUGCUUGGACCUAGAGUCUUGAAACUUGACAUGAAGGUUGGCCAGAACUAGUAAGUAACCACUGGACAUUUCAAGGUCAUUCAUUUGAAGGUCAAGGUCACUGUGACCUUGAAUGUAAAAAUGUUAAAGUUCUUAUUUCAUGUUAUAACUUUGGUAUGCUUGUACCUAGAGUCUUCAAACUUGAAAUAAAGAUUGGCCAGUACUAGAAGAUGACCACUGGUCAUUUCAAUGUCAUUCAUUUGAAGGUCAAGGUCACUGUGACCUUAAAUGUUAAAAUGUUAAAAUUGUUAUAACUUUGGUAUGCUUGGACAUAGAGUCUUCAAACUUGACAUGAAGGUUUGCAAGCACACUUAGAUGACCACUGGUCAUUUCAAGGUCAUUCAUUCUAAGGUCAAGCUUGGAUCAUAUUUAUGUGUCCAAUCUAUCUGCUAGAACUGGUGUGAUAGAAACCUUUUGGAGUGAUCAUAAGGCUGUCUGGAUUUCUGUGUAGGUAUGUGAAAGCAAAACAAUAAAUAGUAUUAUUGCAUCUAAGUUUAUUUUCUUACAUUUGAUAAUGAAAUUGAUGGAAACUUCAAACAAUAUGUUACUAAUUUGCUAAUAAAAAAAUUGAGAUCAAACUUUCCUAAUUGUCAAUUCAAGUUCAUAUUUGUGACCUUAAAUGUUAUUGUUGUUCAUGUAUAUGCAUGCAUUCAAAACAUAACACAAGGUUUGCUCAUGCCUUGAAAAGUACUUACAUUUCAUUUUGACCUUUGAACAAUAUAUCCGUAAUUUAAGUAUUGCAUUGACAAAAACACGAAAGGUACUUUCCUGUCAUUUAAAUCAAAAAUCCGGCUUCAAUGCGGUCAUCUCCGACCGCGGAACUCUUGUAUUAGUU